UACGUAGGGAGCAAGCGUUGUCCGGAAUCAUUGGGCGUAAAGAGCGUGUAGGCGGUUUGGUAGGUCCGCUGUGAAAACUCGAGGCUCAACCUCGAGACGCCGGUGGAAACCAUCAGGCUAGAGUCCGGAAGAGGAGAGUGGAAUUCCUGGUGUAGCGGUGAAAUGCGCAGAUAUCAGGAAGAACACCCGUGGCGAAGGCGGGUCUCUGGGCCGUAACUGACGCUGAGGAGCGAAAGCAUGGGAGCGAACAGG
rnacentral:rRNA from 1 species